AUUGAACGCUGGCGGCAGGCCUAACACAUGCAAGUCGAACGAGCGGCGGACGGGUGAGUAAUGUAUGGGGAACUGCCUGAUCGAGGGGGAUAACUACUGGAAACGGUGGCUACUACCGCAUACUAUCGGAUGUGCCCAUAUGGGAUUAGCUAGUAGGUGGGGUAAAGGCUCACCUAGGCGACGAUCCCUAGCUGGUCUGAGAGGAUGAUCAGCCACACUGGGACUGAGACACGGCCCAGACUCCUACGGGAGGCAGCAGUGGGGAAUAUUGCACAAUGGGCGCAAGCCUGAUGCAGCCAUGCCGCGUGUAUGAAGAAGGCCUUAGGGUUGUAAAGUACUGUCAGCGGGGAGGCGUUACCCGCAGAAGAAGCACCGGCUAACUCCGUGCCAGCAGCCGCGGUAAUAC
rnacentral:rRNA from 1 species